rnacentral:lncRNA from 1 species
UCUCUCCCAUCUCUCAUAUCAGACGUGUUAUAAAUGUCCUCCCAUCUCUCAUAUCAGACACGUGUUAUAAAUGUCCUCCCCUCUCUCAUAUCAGACGUGUUAUAAAUGUCUCCCCAUCUCUCAUAUCAGACACGUGUUAUAAAUGUCCUCCCAUCUCUCAUAUCAGACGUGUUACAAAUGUCCUCCCAUCUCUCAUAUCAGACGUGUUAUAAAUGUCCUCCCAUCUCUCAUAUCAGACGUGUUAUAAAUGUCCUCCCAUCUCUCAUAUCAGACGUGUUAUAUAUGUCCUCCCAUCUCUCAUAUCAGACGUGUUAUAAAUGUCCUCCCAUCUCUCUUAUCAGACAUGUGUUAUAAAUGUCCUCCCAUCUCUCAUAUCAGACGUGUGAUAUAAAUGUCCUCCCAUCUCUCAUAUCAGACGUGUUAUAAAUGUCCUCCCAUCUCUCAUAUCAGACGUGUUAUAAAUGUCCUCCCAUCUCUCAUAUCAGACGUGUGUUAUAA